UUUUGCGAUCUUUCUUCCUUUCGAUUUUCCCGGGAAAAUUCGAGGAGUGAUCUUCAAAUUGGUUUUCUUCACUCUGAUGCCAAUCUCAUCUCCGUGUUGAAUUGGAGAUCUGCAUUGUGAAUUAGAUUGUUAACUAUGGAUUUGGAUUUCUCAUUGUGCUUUGAUUAUGUAGUUUCAAGACAAUGGCACAGGGGUCGGGGGAUUUUGAUUUUUGUGGUCGUUGUUUUGGAUGGAAAUGAUUUGGGCGGUGAUUAGGAGUUAUUGCGAAAUUUCGAUUGCGUUGAGUGCGGUGCAUCGGUGUCAAACAGUAUUCGACUGGAUUGAUCAUCUACGAAAGAUUGGAGCACUGGCGAUGUAAAGAAAACCAGGAAAAGGGGCUUAAUGAAGUAAAGGCUAGGGACGUGCUGACGUUGGUCGGAAAUUCUUGAUGGAAUCUGAGACGAAAUGUGACCUGUCGUUUCAUUUGAUGGGCAUUAUAUGGAUUCCGUAUUGUUUCUUUUUCUAUUGGGUAUUUUCUGUCUUUUCUUCACUGGUACCGUCUCCACUCUACUAUUUGCUAAUCAUGUAUUUCCUUAUACAUGAAGUGUAGAUAAAAAUUUGAGUCAAAAUAUGGCAGAUUGGGCAACAGUGAAGGAUGCAGUAUGACUUGGCUAUUUGAAAUGCAGGUCAGAAAGUUAAAGAUUUGAAAUCACCAACAUAUGAUGCGUUCUUAAACUUUCGGAGAUUACUCAGAUAACUACUAACCAAUAAUUAAGAGCAUUCAUAGUUUUUUUACAGAAGACAAGCACCGAUAGUUUGUUAAACUAUCAUUUUGAUAUUUGUCGGUGUUCUGGACCAACUGCGCACAUAUUCUCAAGAUAUUAUCGUCAUCGAAGUCAUGCUCAGUUUACAUUUACUUAUUUGAGAAACUUGUGAAUCAAUAGUUUUCAUAUGAAAUACUCCGCUCUUUCUUGUAAUAGAAAAGUUUAAUGGAAGAGAAGGAUAGAGCAAUUGCAUUGCUUGCUUUUAUAGAUGUUUCCAACUGCGCUUUUGUGAAGACGUCCUUGGACACAUGCUACAAAUUACAAUGCUUUAAACUCAGCUGGGUGAAGGUUGUUAUCCUUACUAACCAGAAACAUGCACAAGGUUAGCCUGCUUUUUCGAUGUUUAUAUUCUUUAUUUUUAAUUUCUGGAUUUCCUUUACUAGACAUCUGUUUUUUACCACUGUCAUAUUACAAGAAAAUACGAAACUACGGUCGUCCACGAGUAAUUAUGUUCUUUUUGAAUGAAAGAACAAAGGGGCCUAAGAAAACCAUCUUGAACCAACAAGUCGCCACCAGAAAAACAAUUACAGAACAGUUCUCCAACUGCUGGUCAUCACAAAAAAUAUAAUACAAAUCGUUGCAAGAAACACAAAGAGAGUAUUAAAGUGAACCUCUCAUCACACUUCCCCCAAGAACUACUCUUUCCAUGAAAAGUUCGUCUGUUCUUCUCCCACCUAAUAUUCCAUAACACAGUGAAGAAACCAAUCUGUCAUAGGAUUCUUUACCUCUCUUCCGAAAGCAAGGAGGCAACAAUACCUCUUUCGAGCGUAGGACACUCGUCAGUCUGAGCCAAAACAACUUGUAAUGACUGAAAAAAACCUAAAACGGACCUCCCUGAAAAAGGGCAAAGCAGAAAGAUUUUAUUUUAGUUUGACUGGAUUCUUUUCGUCUCAUUCUACAUUUGCUGUGUCUACGAAAUACUUCGAUGUGGCCAUGCUUCGUUCUUUGGCAGAUAUAAGUUAUCUGUUGCUUUUUAAUUGCGGGAAAUAGGGAUAUAUGAUGGAAAAGCGUUCUCUUAAGUUCAAAGUUUAACAAGUUUACUGAGUAACGAGGGAAUGAUUCCCUUUGUGUGGGCUCAAUACUGAAACUUUGCACCGUUCCCUUUCGGGAAUGUUGAAUAAUUCUAUUAUCGCCCCUUAAUUUUACCAUGCUCUAUCUCUACCCUUGUUUUUUGGCAUUUUGUUUCUCUCUUUUCUCUGCAGGUUCCAUACAAGUUUGAUAUUGAUUCUCUUCACAGAUAUUAGCAAACCCUAUCUGUAUUAAUCUUCUCACAUGAUGCAAAAUCGUAACCUUUUCUUUUCCAUUCCUUAUUCUGAAUCUCUGAUUCCUUCCCAUCCACAUUCCUUACACUCCCCCUGCAUUCUACUAUUUUACUGAAAUAUAAUUCACCCCCAGGGUAAUGAUGUCUGUACAUGGUGAUUGAAGUUUAACAUUAAAAUUAGGACCUCUAAGAAACUUGAAGAUAAGACUCAAAUUGAAUCUCAGUUUUAUGAUAACAUUUUACAAACAUCUUUUGCUUUUCUGGGCCUUCCUGAUAAAAUCGACUAUUUAAUACUAAGUUGCAAAUGGUGAAUUAUGGUCCCAUUGGAAGAUUUGUUAGUGACUUCUCAAUAAUUUUGGCAUAUGAUUUGAUUCAACUUCAAAUUCAAAACUGUGCAAAGUUUGUCCAUCGCUAGGUUUGAAGAGGGGCCGGACCCUAAAUUGUGACAAAGAUUUUAGGAUUUUUCUGAGCAGAACAGUACUGCUAACUUAAAUAAUUAUGCCAGAAUUAGUCUAAUUUAAUUGGUUGAAACUUUUACUUACCCGUCUCAUUAACUCAAAAUAAUUGUAAUUCUAUAUUCAUUUUCUUCCAACGUUAUCACUUGUUAGCAUCUUUGAAACUUUGCAGAAGCUUCAAUUUCAGCUGUUAGAAAAUAACCUUUGUCCACGCAGGAAGUAGGGUUGUCUAGAAAAUAAAUUAACAAAUACUAAACACUUAGAUUGCCAUAUGGGUAGAUGAAAGAACCUGAAAUGAAGGAGUGAAUUGAUCAAGGAUGACAAAGGAAACCUUAGGAACAGUUUCUCUCAAAACAAAACCAAGACCAAAAUCAAUUAAUAAUUCUAGAUCAUAUCACAAGCAUAGAUAUACAGAAAUGGAACUAGAUGGUUUCUAAUCAAGAAUGAAGAAGAAAAUGAACAGGCAAAGAGUCAAUCUGCCUAUCAAGAAAAUUCACUCAGAUUUCACCAAAAGUACAAAAACCCACAUAGCAGAGUGAUUCAAAUUUGAACUAGCUUGAAACUUUGCAUGUGUUUCACUUGCGACAGCUUCAAAUUUGCAUAAUCCAUCGUCAAAAUUUAGAGCGUAGCUGCAAGGAUCAUACUGAAACCUGAACUGCUGCUUGCUUCCGUUCUUGAUGGCUUUCUUCAUUGCAGCUCUCAUCCUCCAGAACAGUUUCUUGAAUUGCUUCCUACUGUAAGUAUUCAUCCAUUCUAUGCCUUCCACAAAUCCCAUUAAUACAACGUCAACCUCUAAACUCUAAAAUUUCUGCAGCUAAUCCCAAAAUGUCCUGAAAUGAAGAGCAGGUUGUGAUAGUUUCUGGGUAUUUGAGGAAGAUUAUAAAGGAUUCACAGACGCAGAGACAAACAAGAACAGUUGCAAUCUGAAGUUUGUGCAGGAGUGUCAGAACCAAAACAACAAAAGACGAUUCACCUUUUUGUAUACAGGAGGAGGGCGAAAUGAGAAAGGGCAAAGCGUAAUCUUUUGGCCUUCCAAUGAAGCUGCGCAGUUUAUGUUGAGCCUCUACGAUGAGAUCGGCCUUUUCUCCUUGGAGUCAUGUUGGAAUGCUCAAAUUCCAUCAACUACAGCGAUAAAGACAGAGAAGGAGAAGGAGAAGGAAAAGGGGAGAGAGAGAGAGAGAGAGAGAGAAAGCGAGGGAGAGCUAAUAGCAAUUGCAGUGGGCAGAGAGCCUACAGAGACAUAUCAAUAUCGAAUAUUGUUGCGGCAAAAGUAACGAAGGAAGGUGACUAUGUGCAACGGUAUGUCUUCGGUCUUCGCCUCUUUCACGGGCAUAAAAGUAUUUAUGUUCCACUAAGCUCCUUAACCAUCUCUACGGUUCCUUAAAAGCAAGGAAUAAACUUCCUUUUGAACCUUCUUAAACAACAAAGUACAAUUUUUUACAGAAAAGGAUUAUAACAAUUCAAACCCUUUCUCCGUUAUGAAUUUAACAGAAAAAUACUGCUGCAGGAACCCUGUGGGGUAUUAGUCCAAAACCCCACUUAACAGAAACUGAGCCUUGUGGUUCAGAAUAAAAGUAAAUCAAUAGGUCAAAACACUUUUUUAGUUCUUUUGUUUUGAACUUUGGCUUGUGUGCACUCUUUCAAGGAAAAAAAAAAAAAAGAAAUACACACCUACACCGAAGUAUUAAUGUUGAAAAUAAAAUGAUCUAGGUUAAGAACUACAGAUAUGAGGAUUAAAGCCUUAAUUAGAAAUCUAGGAAUUAGAGGUGUUUGAAUCAAAUUAGUAUAUAAUGGUGUCCUAUGGAACAGAAACUGGUGUAUUGAUCAAUCAAAUCAGAGUUUGGCUAUCUUAUCCACUGAUUUGUCUCCUAUACCAGGCAAAGUGGAGAAACUUGAACAUCUUGGUAACUUUAGAGGAUUUCUAGGUCUUAUAGCUCUCACACGCUCUUUUCCAUUGCCCUUUUACUUUUUCCAUUUAACCAAUAAUCUAUUUUUUGUCUCACUCCAUCUCUCUUUUUUUCUCUCUCUCCCCCAUAGAAUCUUGGGGUCUUUUGCCAUCGCCCUCCCCACCGUGCAGAAUUACAUAAUGCUGCGAAGGGAGAUGAGGAUCAUCCUUUGGCUAAUGACUUGUCACUCUAGCCAACUACGUGACCCUUGUCUUCAUUUUCAAUUUACCUUUCUGUAGGGUCAUUAUCCUAUUGAAAGUUGAGUCUUGGAGAUAAUUGUCUGUUUUUCCAUCAGCUAUGCUAAAGUCUUCCACAUGACAUUAUUUUCUCAUGGUGGGGUCCCUCUUCGGUUUUUCUUUCUUAAUGGGUUACCACAAGCUUGGGAUAGGAUUUUUUUGGGUGGACCCCCAAAUGCCACGUGUCUAGAUCAUAGGGUAGGGUGAUACAGAAGACUGAUCCUCCCAAUAAAGGCUCUUUGUUGAUGUUGUUCAGAUUGGUUGGGGGGGGGGGGGGGGGGGGGGGGUAUGGAAGGAAGGCCCAUAUUCCAAAUUCUCCUUUUUCAAAUCUAAUUUGGCUACCAUUAAUGCCCGUUGCCAUUCCCUCGCAAGAUCGUUUUCCCAUUUGUACAAACGCCAUUCGGUCUUCUUCUACCUUUUCUGCAGAUUCUCUCUGCAACAACCGAUGCCUUAUCAGAAUUUUCUGUCAUUUUAUUACUUUCUCUUCCUCAUCGAAUAUAUUAUCUUCUAUAUUUUUGCUCUUUUGCUCUUUUCGUUGUUUUUUGUCCAUUUCACUUUCUGUAUACUAAAGUAUAGCUUUAAAUUUAAGUAGUUUGCAUUCUAUUUUA